GCCCGCUCUCUGUGGUGUGCAUAGGACUUCUAAUCCGACGGUCGCGGGUUCGAAUCCUGCCGGGCG
rnacentral:tRNA from 1 species